CUGUAACAUCCACACAGAAAACUCAAAGGAACUGACCAAAAUAGAUGCUGAGUAUCAAAACAAAGACUGAAAUGUAAAGAGUCUUAAAAGAGAUGACCAAACUAAAGUCUGCAGAAGAUGAUGGUUCAAUGAAACAAAUUUCCAUCCUUGUAAUACAGACGAGUCCUUAGGGCACUGUAAAUUGUAAUGAAGAGGAUAUUUUUACAGGAGUAUCAGCACAACCAUCAUAAAUCACAAAUAAUGAUUAUUUGUUUUGACAAUAAAUCACAUAUAAUAAAUUAAAAAAAACAAAAUAAAAUAUAAACUAAACAGUAAAAGAAGGGCAAAGAGUUGUUCCAGAAGUCAUCUCUCCAGAAAGUGAACCUGUACACUAUGAAGAUAAUGUAACCAAGUUGUCGAAAAUUCUUCAUCUUGGGAAGAGAAAUG
rnacentral:lncRNA from 1 species